rnacentral:rRNA from 1 species
GUGCCAGCAGCCGCGGUAAUACGGAGGAUGCAAGCGUUAUCCGGAUUUAUUGGGUUUAAAGGGUGCGUAGGCUGUUCUUCAAGUCAGAGGUGAAAUACCCGAGCCUAACUCGGGAACUGCCUUUGAUACUGGAGGGCUUGAAUACUGUUGCCGUGGGAGGAAUGAGUAGUGUAGCGGUGAAAUGCAUAGAUAUUACUCAGAACACCGAUUGCGAAGGCAUCUCACGAAGCAGCGAUUGACGCUGAGGCACGAAAGCGUGGGGAUCAAACAGGAUUAGGUACCCUGGUAGUCCACGCAGUAAACGAUGAUAACUAACCGUCGGCGAUACACAGUCGGUGGCCAAGCGAAAGCGAUAAGUUAUCCACCUGGGGAGUACGACCGCAAGGUUGAAACUCAAAGGAAUUGACGGGGGCCCGCACAAGCGGAGGAACAUGUGGUUUAAUUCGAUGAUACGCGAGGAACCUUACCCGGGCUCGAACGGCAAGUGAAGAGAAGCAGAGAUGCUGACGUCCUUCGGGACACUUGUCGAGGUGCUGCAUGGUUGUCGUCAGCUCGUGUCGUGAGAUGUUGGCUUAAGUGCCAUAACGAGCGCAACCCUUGUCACUAGUUACCAUCAGGCAAAGCUGGGGACUCUAGUGAGACUGCCACCGCAAGGUGUGAGGAAGGCGGGGAUGACGUCAAAUCAGCACGGCCCUUACGUCCGGGGCGACACACGUGUUACAAUGGUGACUACAGAGGGAAGCCACCCAGCGAUGGGGAGCAGAUCUCGAAAAGUCAUCUCAGUUCGGACUGGAGUCUGCAACCCGACUCCACGAAGCUGGAUUCGCUAGUAAUCGCGCAUCAGCCAUGGCGCGGUGAAUACGUUCCCGGGCCUUGUACACACCGCCCGU